rnacentral:rRNA from 1 species
CUGGUUGAUCCUGCCAGACCCGACUGCUAUCGGAUUGGGACUAAGCCAUGCGAGUCAACUCCGCAAGGGGUGGCGCACGGCUCAGUAACACGUUGUCAACCUACCCUGGGGACGGGGAUAACCUCGGGAAACUGAGGCUAAACCCCGAUGGGCCAUGGCUCCUGGAAUGGGCUAUGGCUGAAAUCUACAUGGCCCCAGGAUGGGACUGCGGCCGAUCAGGUUGUUGGUGGGGUAAUGGCCCACCAAGCCUAUAACCGGUGCGGGCUCUGAGAGGAGGAGCCCGGAGAUGGGCACUGAGACAAGGGCCCAGGUCCUAUGGGGCGCAGCAGGCGCGAAACCUCCGCAAUGGGCGAAAGCCCGACGGGGUCAGUCCGAGUGGUUCCCGCUGAGGGAACCUUUUGCCAGCUGUAAACAGGCUGGCGAAUAAGGGGUGGGCAAGUUUGGUGUCAGCCGCCGCGGUAAUACCAGCACCCCGAGUGGUCGGGACGAUUAUUGGGCCUAAAGCAUCCGUAGCCGGCCCAGUAAGUCCUCCGUUAAAUCCAACGGCUCAACCGUUGGGCUGCGGGGGAUACUGCUGGGCUAGGGGACGGGAGAGGCGAGGGGUAUUCCCGGGGUAGGGGUAAAAUCCACUGAUCCCGGGAGGACCACCAGUGGCGAAGGCGCCUCGCUAGAACGUGCCCGACGGUGAGGGAUGAAAGCUGGGGGAGCGAACCGGAUUAGAUACCCGGGUAGUCCCAGCCGUAAACGAUGUAGGCUCGGUGUUGGGCUGCCUCAGUGGCAGCCCAGUGCCGCAGGGAAGCCGUUAAGCCUACCGCCUGGGGAGUACGGCCGCAAGGCUGAAACUUAAAGGAAUUGGCGGGGGAGCACCAC